rnacentral:rRNA from 1 species
UGGUCUGUAACUGACGCUGAGGCUCGAAAGUAUGGGUAGCAAACAGGAUUAGAUACCCUGGUAGUCCAUACCGUAAACGAUGAAUGCUAAGUGUUGGAGGGUUUCCGCCCUUCAGUGCUGCAGCUAACGCAUUAAGCAUUCCGCCUGGGGAGUACGGCCGCAAGGCUGAAACUCAAAGGAAUUGACGGGGGCCCGCACAAGCGGUGGAGCAUGUGGUUUAAUUCGAAGCUACGCGAAGAACCUUACCAGGUCUUGACAUACUAUGCAAAUCUAAGAGAUUAGACGUUCCCUUCGGGGACAUGGAUACAGGUGGUGCAUGGUUGUCGUCAGCUCGUGUCGUGAGAUGUUGGGUUAAGUCCCGCAACGAGCGCAACCCUUAUUAUCAGUUGCCAGCAUUAAGUUGGGCACUCUGGUGAGACUGCCGGUGACAAACCGGAGGAAGGUGGGGAUGACGUCAAAUCAUCAUGCCCCUUAUGACCUGGGCUACACACGUGCUACAAUGGAUGGUACAACGAGUUGCGAACUCGCGAGAGUAAGCUAAUCUCUUAAAGCCAUUCUCAGUUCGGAUUGUAGGCUGCAACUCGCCUACAUGAAGUCGGAAUCGCUAGUAAUCGCGGAUCAGCAUGCCGCGGUGAAUACGUUCCCGGGCCUUGUACACACCGCCCGUCACACCAUGAGAGUUUGUAACACCCAAAGUCGGUGGGGUAACCUAUAGAACCA